CCCUAUACAAACAGUACCCUAAAAGCACCAUAUUCCAUCUGAUCUUGGAAGCAAAGAAGGGUUGGCUCUGGUUAGUACUUGAAUGGAGGACCACCAAGGAAUAGCAUGUGUUGUAGGCU
rnacentral:rRNA from 1 species